rnacentral:lncRNA from 1 species
AUGGUGAUGGAGUGCGCACUGGAGGCCGGAGCAGAGCCGUGCCGUCUACUCAGGACUCGUCGAGCAGGAGGGAGAGGGACCCGACUCCGGUGCGCCGUCGCCGCCGUGAGGGGCGGCCGCGCGCCGGGCCUACUGGCGCCUGCCGCAGCCGCAGAGCGAGAGGACGAGGAGGCGAGGGGCGGCGGAGAUGAGACACAAGCGGAGCGGCGGCCGUCCGGGCGCGGUGGUGGUCCAAGGACUCCCCGCCCCUGUGAUGGACCGAUGGACGUACACAGGGGCUAUAGCAUCCACGCCGGGAGAGGCCUGCGGACACCGGCAAGAGCCAAUUCACCCAGGCGGUGGCAAUUUCAGCGCGCGCCGAGGGAAAGGAAGAGGGUGAGAGACUGGGAGGCGGCGGCGGAGAGGAAAGGGGAGAAGCUGAAGAGAGCGGAAGAGACCCAUGGAUUUGUGGGGCCCAUAGCGGAAGACCACACGGCGACGGCACCACAACUGGUAUUGUUGCACUGUAGAGCGGAGGCGGAUAGAAUUUGCCUGUAUAUCGCAUCGGAUAGACCUGGAGACUCCUGGGUACUAUUCGCCUGUAGCACCUGAGAUGUCCCUC